GAAAUUUUGCAUCUUAACUGUAAAAGUGCCGUUGAUACUGUGAGGCUAGGAUUUGGUUGCUGUGGGUGGAAUGUGUGGUGUAGCGGUGAAAUGCUUAGAGAUCACACAGAAUAUCGAUUGCGAAGGCAGCUCACAAAGCCAAGAUUGACGCUGAGGCACGAAAGUGUGGGGAUCAAACAGGAUUAGAUACCCUGGUAGUCCACACUGUAAACGAUGAUAACUCGCUGUCGGCGAUAUACAGUCGGUGGCCAAGCGAAAGCGAUAAGUUAUCCACCUGGGGAGUACGACCGCAAGGGUGAAACUCAAAGGAAUUGACGGGGGCCCGCACAAGCGGAGGAACAUGUGGUUUAAUUCGAUGAUACGCGAGGAACCUUACCCGGGCUCGAACGGUGCAGGAAUAUGGUAGAGAUAUCAUAGCUAGCAAUAGUCUGUAUCGAGGUGCUGCAUGGUUGUCGUCAGCUCGUGCCGUGAGGUGUCGGCUUAAGUGCCAUAACGAGCGCAACCCUUGUCAUUAGUUACCAUCAGGUCAAGCUGGGGACUCUAAUGAGACUGCCACCGUAAGGGUGAGAGGAAGGGGGGGGAUGACGUCAAAUCAGCACGGCCCUUAUGUCCGGGGCGACACACGUGUUACAGUGGGGGGUACAGAGGGCAGCCAUCCGGCGACGGGAGCGCCAAUCUCAAAACCCUUCUCAGUUCGGAUUGGAGUCUGCAACCCGACUCCAUGAAAUUGGAUUCGCUAGUAAUCGCGCAUCAGCCAUGGCGCGGUGAAUACGUUCCCGGGUCCUUGUACACACCGCCCGUCAAGCCAUGGAAGGCUUGGGGGUUGCCUGAAGUUCGUGACCGCAAGGAGCGACCUUAG
rnacentral:rRNA from 1 species